CCGCCCUGGGUACGGCCCAGGCCACGCCCAGCUGCGAGACCGCGUUUGAGGGUUUGUGACUGUGCGGAUUCUUGUCUCUGGUAACUGGACUCAGAAAGAUCUCUGCUGAGCUGUUUCAGGUUUCUCGCUGAUCUCCCGAAAAUGACGGCGCCUUGCUCCUCUCGCAAGGCAUCCCCCUACCGCUCCGAGAGUCCCUUUUCUUCUAGGUGCUUCGUUGGGAUUCUUUUGGUGGCGCUACUGCUCCUGCUUCCCAUAUCCUCCGAUGCCUGUGGUGAGCCACCAAGGUAUGAAUCUAUGCAGCUCCCGGGUGUCCCUAAACCCAGUUAUAGCCCUGGGGAGAGUGUACAGUAUGAAUGUCGCCCAGGUUACCAGCCCAAGCGUCCUCCUCUUCCUACCUCUGCUGUUUGUCAGAAUGAUGGUAUGUGGUCACUUCUCCAGGAGGCCUGUACAAGAAAACAGUGUCCUAACCUAGGGGAUCCCCCAAAUGGCCAAGUAGACUACCCAAAUGGAAGUAUUCUGUUUGGCUCAGAGGCUCAUUAUGUUUGUAAUGUUGGUUAUUUCUUAAUUGGACCAAGUAUUCUAUACUGUGACAUUUCUGGAAGUACUGUGGAGUGGAGUGAUACUCCUCCAACGUGUGAAAAGAUUUUGUGUAAACCACCUGAAAAAAUUCUAAAUGGAAAAUACACAAAUAGCCUCAAGGAUAUAUUUGAAUACAGUGAAGUAGUAACUUAUAGUUGUGAUGCUUCAAAUGGAACAGAUCAAUAUUCACUUGUUGGAGAGAGCAAGCUUGUUUGUAUUGGAAAUGACAAAUGGAGUAGUGACCCUCCUCAGUGUAAAGUGGUCAAAUGUGCCUAUCCAUACGUUGAAAAUGGAAUAAUAGUCUCAGGACAUGGAACAAAAUUUUACUACAAAGCAACGAUUGUAUAUAGAUGCAUUGAGGGUUUUAAGCUUAAUGGCAGCAACACAAUUGUCUGUAAUGCGAACAGUACUUGGGAGCCUGAGAUACCAACAUGUAUUAAAGAGUCAACUACUCCUAGUACCCAGCCUCCAAUUUCCAGUGCCUCAGUGUCAACUCCUCCCAGUUCCCAACCUCCAAUUUCCAGUGACUCAGCAGAAGCAAGAGACAAGAGGAAGAGAGGAAGAGCAUUAGCCUGGGCAGACUGCACUCAGGGUCCCAGUGUGGCUCUGCUCACUAAAAUUCCAAGCCUACUCAUACAACUACGACUCUGGGGUCAAGUCAUCCAGGAUAUCCCAGUCCCAGUGAUGAACCACCACCUAAAGAUGCUGAGAGUUUAGGUGCAGGAAUCAUUGUUGCAAUUGUCAUUGGUGCACUUUUUGGCGUUGUAGUAGUUGUCUGCAGCAUCUACUUCUGUUUUCACAAAGAGAAGAAAAGGUUGCAGUAAAACUGAUGGGGUUAAACUAAAAGUUGCUGAGAGGGAAAGAAGGUAUUGCUAUAUACAGCGCUUGCCAGGAUAAGGCAACCACUCCAGCAGAGCAGAUGGACUAAAUGGUUUCCACAAACCCAUGUAUCAUUCAGCCAUGAAAAUGAAGAAAAUCCUACCAUUUGAGACAAUACAGAUGGACCUUGAGGGCAUUAUGCUGGGUGAAUAAGUCAUAUAAAGAAAGACAAGUACUGUAUGAUCUCACUUAUAUGUGGAAUCCAAUAAAACAAGCUUAUAGAAAAAGAAAUCAGAUUUACCUUCAUCAGAGGUGGUGGGCUGGGGGUGGCAGUUGAGUAAAGGCAGUCAGAAAAUAUAAACUUCCAAUUAUAAGAUAAAAACGUACUGGGAUGUAAUGUACAGCAUAGUGACUAGUUAGUAACACUGUAUUGUGUUUUGGCAAGUUGCUAAUAAGAAAGUGGAUCUUAAAACUUCUAAUCACAUGGAAGAAAAAAAUUUUUUUGUAGGUACAUGAAGUGAUGGAUGUUAACUAAAUUUAUCGUGUAAUCAUUUUGCAAUAUAUACAUGAUCAAAUCAUGCUGUACACCUUAAACUUAUGCAGCAUUAUAUGUUAGUUAUAUUUCAAUACUGAAAAAAAUAUAAAAAUUAUUUGCUAGUUUCUUACACUGUCAGGAAUGGAACUGUUAAGCUAUAGGGCUAACAUUUUAAUGUGGCUGAAGUACAGUCACCAUCAUUUAAUGCUUCUUUGAAAUGUGUAUGAAUUUGUGUUUGAAUAUCUUGCUUGUUUUUCCUUAAAUAACGCUUGUAUUUAUAAGGGCAACUUAACACAGUAUCGCGACUAGUGUUAAGGUGGGGAAAUAUUUUUUCUAUAAAAUCUCCAAACUCAGAGAACUAUAAUUCAAAAUGGCAUUACAUUUCAUUUGUAAAGAAAGUGAUUUUGAAAUCUUUUCUGUUCAAAGAUGACUGCCAACUCUUAAGAUUCAUUCUUCAACAAUCCCAAAAUAUGCAUUAUAUAUUGUUUAUUAUAAAAGUUUGAUUUCCUUAACUAAGAAUAUUACCGGAAAAUACUCUUACAGUUAAUAGGUUAAAAUACUAUUUUAAAAAAUUUGUAACCUCUUGGUGAUUUAAAGAUGCUAUAAAGUUUAUUUCUGGCAUUUGUUCUUCACCCCUUUUAAUAACAAUAAACCAGUCUAAGAAAUCAAGAAGAAUUCAGCAUCAGUUGCAUGCUUCUGUACAAAGUUAGAGGGCUUCUAACACCCAUAGCAGGAAUGCCAGCUCAGGACAAAGUGAAUACUGUGGACUUGUAGUUUUCUUAAAAAGAAUUCCACUCUUUAAGAGAAUUAGAAUCCACUCUAAAUUCUGUUUUUCUCUCCCCACCUGAAUAAAGAGAUGUCUUACUUUAAACAUGUCAUCUGAAUGUAGGCAGUUUUGUAGGGAAUAAAUUCAUCAGAUAACCUCAAGUUGCAUUAGAAUCUGAGUCUCACCUCAUCUGUAAAGGGCAGAGUAAAAAUGAAGCCCCAUAUUUCAGAAAAGCAAACUUAACUUUGUAGAUUUGCUGUUGGUCAUGCAAAGGGAUGGAAAGAAGAAUGAGCUCAGGUAGCUCUUGACGCUCAGGUGGGACAGAUCCCAGCCCUCUUCUCUGUCCUCACACCAGGCAGGGCCUCCUUCAAAUAAGCCAGCGGCCAAAGAGGAGGGACUGUCUCUCUAACUCCAAUUACAUUUUUACAUGUUUUGUUUCACACUUUUAUAGUUAGUAGCACAAACUGGGCCAAAGAAACGUUGCCUUAGAAAUAGAUGAAUAAAGAAUCAAGAGUGAACCGGAGUAAAUAUUGUUUUACUCCCUAAGGACAUGUUUGUAAGGCCAUGUAAGUGGUCCUUCCCUUUGUAGUCUCUGGUGAGGCACUUUAGGAAGAUAAAUUUGAGGAGAAUAAAUUCAGGAAUUCUGAGAUAAAUAUAGAGUUGAAGUUUUGCUGUACCCUCUUCCACAUAAUUUUUGAGAAUCUAGCACUUGCUUAGAAGCAAGGGGGUGGCUAUAGUACAUAUUUUUAAAACCCUCAAAGAAGUGUUUUCAACCAAGGAUUAUUAUGCUUACCAAAAUAAAUUGACUUUCACAGUAUAGUUUCCACUUCAAAAUUAGUUUUUCUAAUUUAUUUAUAUGUAAGAUUGAAAUAUGUGUGUACAUAUAAAUUAUGUUCUGUUUGUCAAAUAAUUUGUCAAUUAAAUAUAGGGGGACACCAUUUUUCUCUAGAAAUGUUUAUUUAAAUGAGAGAGGGAAAAGUGUAUUUUAAUUUAAAGCUUUCUUAAAACUGCAUUUUGAGAAUUGGACCUUCAGAUCUAUUAAAAAAAUAAAAUGUCAUUAUGGAGAA